GGCCUUAUCGUCUAACGGUUAGGACAUCGCCUUCUCAAGGCGGUAAUCGGGGUCCGAUUCCCCGUAAGGUCA
rnacentral:tRNA from 1 species